UACGCUGGCGGCACGCCUAACACAUGCAAGUCGAACGCAGUAGCAAUACUGAGUGGCAAACGGGUGAGUAUAAUGUGGGAAUCUACCUUUUGGUUUGGAAUAACACGGGGAAACUUGUGCUAAUACCGAAUAAGCCCUUACGGGGAAAGUUUUAAUGCCGAAAGAUGAGCCCGCACUUGAUUAGCUAGUUGGUAAGGUAAAAGCUUACCAAGGCAACGAUCAAUAGCUGUUCUUAGAGGAAGACCAGCCACAUUGGGACUGAGACACGGCCCAGACUCCUACGGGAGGCAGCAGUGGGGAAUCUUGCACAAUGGGGGAAACCCUGAUGCAGCGAUGCCGCGUGAGUGAAGAAGGCCCUUGGGUUGUAAAACUCUUUCGUCGGGGAAGAAAAUGACUGUACCCGAAUAAGAAGGUCCGGC
rnacentral:rRNA from 1 species